rnacentral:rRNA from 1 species
AUUGAACGCUGGCGGCAGGCCUAACACAUGCAAGUCGAGCGAGCGGCGGACGGGUGAGUAAUGUCUGGGAAACUGCGCGAUGGAGGGGGAUAACUCCUGGAAACGGUAGCUAAUACCGCAUACCAUCGGAUGUGCCCAGAUGGGGUUAGCUAGUAGGUGGGGGAACGGCUCACCUAGGCGACGAUCCCUAGCUGGUCUGAGAGGAUGACCAGCCACACUGGAAGUGAGACACGGUCCAGACUCCUACGGGAGGCAGCAGUGGGGAAUAUUGCACAAUGGGCGCAAGCCUGAUGCAGCCAUGCCGCGUGUAUGAAGAAGGCCUUCGGGUUGUAAAGUACUUUCAGCGGGGAGGCGUUACCCGCAGAAGAAGCACCGGCUAACUCCGUGCCAGCAGCCGCGGUAAUAC